CUUCCACGAAAUGAUCUGCUUAUACAAUUUAUUUCUUUUCAUGAUUAUUGGUUCAAAAGAACUUACCAAAUGAAACAUCUUUUCGGCAAUAUUUGGUUGUGUGAUUUUAGUGUAUCAUACUUGAUCCAGAACGGCCAAAUUUGCCUGUCUAUCAAAAACUUCUUUUUAAAAAUCUAUUGUUAUACUUUCAUUACCCUCUUUUUCAAAUUGUUUUGUCUAAUAUUUGGCUGCUGCCAUUCUAGCUCUGAACUGAAUCCCUAUGAAUACCUUAUCCGCAUACAUAACAUUGAUGGGAGUGGACAUCCUGUAACCUACUGCCGCGCGUAACCCCGCUGAUUCUAUUUUCCUUAUUUGUUCCUGCAGUUCUACGCUUGUGUUAAGUGACGAGAAAAUUGGAGCUCCAUAAUCUAACACCGAAGAAACCAGUGCUCUUACUAAAUUCAGUGCCCAGUGUUGACUAAUUCCCCGGCUACCCCAACAUAAAUAGUUUAUAACCUUAACUCUUUUUUUCGCUCUGCAUACGAGAUCUUUUAUGUGUGUACGGAACGUUAAAUUUUGAUCUAUCGUGAUCCCAAGAAAUUUGGCUUCAGGAACGGAUUCUAGUAUUUUCAUCGUCUACAUUUCAUCUGCUUCGAGGAUUGAUAUUGCUGUAUUACUUUAAAAUUUAUACGCAAAAAACGACAAAAAUCAAGAUUUUCUUGGAUUAAAUUGUUUAUAAGAAGAAAACGGAACAGAGUUGAGAGUGAAAAACAUAUACCUAUUCAGCUACGCAUCCCUUUUAUUAAGUACUUUUGUCACCAAAACGCUGUUUUAAUUCUCUACCGAUUGGCCUAGUUGUAUUGUUGACGAUUGGAGGAAAGUUGUUUUUGUGACGUAUCUCGUGCCUGUAUCGGGACAAAUGAUGAUGCUGGAAAAUUCGUUUGGAAAAUAAUGAAUGAAAAGUUUUAUGUAGGCUGUUUGAAGUUUAAGGGGUUAGUCGCAGUCAGGAAAAUGGAAACGGACAGUUUCUUGUGUGUUUUUUUUAAGGUAUUAAAUAAUAAUUUUUAUUAAUGAAAUGUACAUAUAUUACAAAGUAUGUCUUAAAGAAUUAUAAAAGAAUUUUUGUUUUAAGAGAAGGUUAAUUCAUUUCGUCAUAACAGGCGAUGGCGUGGGUGGCCACUUGCUUUGCGGUGAGCAAGAUUUCUUCAAACUGGCGCACCUGGAAACAAAACUAAAGGAAGAUUUAGAAAAUAUAUUAGACUAACGGGUCCCUGACGAAGGAUUUUUUAUUUUCUUGUAUACUUUUUUUUUAUCCUGUAUUGAAUCGCUUAAUUUUAGUGAAAAAAUUGAAAAUCAACUUCAAAUGUAGGCCAUCUUGUUUUAAAUUAAUUUUUUCCAAAAUCCUUCGUUCAGGGACCCGCUAGACUAAUCUAUUUUUGAAAUCUACCUUUGUUUUUGUUUUCAGGUAAACCAGUGUAGAGAAAUCUUGCUCACCGCAAACCUACGUUUUUAAAUCAUUGUCUACGUCAUCGCCUGUUAUGACGAUAUAAAUUAAACGUUUCUUAAAACAGAAAAUGUUUUUUAGUUCUUUAAAACAUGCUUUGUAAUAUACUUAACUGCUACUUAUGCAAAUUAUUAUUUAAUAACUAAAAAAAAAUCACAAAGAAAUGUCGUUGUUCCUCUUCCUGACUGUGACUAACCCCUUAAGCAGAAAUACCCACAAUCGUAUGUGUGUGAAAUUGUAUAAAGUUGUGUGUAGUUCUCAUCGUAGCAAAUUAGUACAAAAUUAUUUAAUGAAUAAUCAGUUAGAAGUAUUAGAAGUAACGGUUCCUUCGAUCGUAAAGUAAAUUUCGGGGCAUCGACAAGUCUUCGAGGACCCCUAAACGCAGGCAUGCCCUCCACCCGGGCUUCAAGGGGGCUGGCCAAAGGGGACCUGGAGGUGUCGUCGCGAACGCCGUCAGGAUCAAUGAGCAGCCUGGAGGAAGGUA